AAUUGGUAAACUACAAAAGAAUAUAAUUAUCAUUUUCAGCGACUGUUAAACAUAAAAUACACCAUCGAAUAAGGAAGCAAAACCUAUUGUGCCAAAUUGCCACCAUCACAUAAUGUUGCCUGCCAAGGAUCACCAAUUUAUUAAGGUGGGAUGUCUGAGAUUUCCUUAUUUCAACUGAAGCUUGCUGUAAAAAAAACUUUUUCAGUUUUGCUGAUGCACAUCAAUAUAGACAGCCCAGUUUGUAGGCAAAAACAAAAAAAA
rnacentral:misc_RNA from 1 species